rnacentral:rRNA from 1 species
CAGUAGCCGCGGGAAUACGUAGGGUCCGAGCGUUGUCCGGAAUUAUUGGGCGUAAAGGGCUCGUAGGCGGUUUGUUGCGUCGGGAGUGAAAACCCAGGGCUUAACUUUGGGCUUGCUUUCGAUACGAGCAGACUUGAGGCAUUGAGGGGAGAACGGAAUUCCUGGUGUAGCGGUGAAAUGCGCAGAUAUCAGGAGGAACACCGGUGGCGAAGGCGGUUCUCUGGCAAUGUUCUGACGCUGAGGAGCGAAAGUGUGGGGAGCGAACAGGAUUAGAUACCCCCGUAGUCCCUGUCUCUUAUAC